GCCCUCGUCGACUUCGCUGGAGCCCUCACGGAGCACCCACGAUUCUCCUCGCUGAAGUGCCCACGAUUCUUCUCGCCGAAGCACCAGUUCUCCUCACUGAAGUGCCCUCGCGAUUCUCCUCACCGAAGCCCUUGCGAUUCUCCUCGCCGAAGUGCCCUCGCGAUUCUCCUCGCCGAAGCCCUUGCGAUUCUCCUCGCCGAAGUGCCCUCGCAAUUCUCCUCUCCAAAGCUCUCCUCGCCGCGCCCUCGCUGCGACGACUAUGGGCCCUAAGGCGCCCUCUGUGCGGCUGUAAUGCUGGAUUGCCUCAUUAUUUCACACUUCUGCAGACUCUAAGGUACAAAGGGAUAAUAAUUGAUGGUGAGCUUUGGAAUUUGGAUGAGUUUAUGUGAAUGCACUGUUUGUGCCGUUUUAGAGGUUUUGUGCCAUAUGUAGUUAUUGUUUGCAUUAUUGUGAAAUUUCUCAAGGAGAGGUGCUGGACAUGAAGACAACUUUUAUUUUGUUGAAAUGUGAUGUUAUUAGAAAUAUAGAUAUGUGAUGUUUCAUGAAGAUUGGUUUCUCUUAUAUGGGUUUCUGAAGUUUGAUGGCUUUGUUC